rnacentral:lncRNA from 1 species
AUGUGUCCUCCCCUCCCUCAGUCCUGCAGGGCAGUGUCAGACAGGAGGAGAGGGUUUGGGCCCACAGGGCGCUGCCAACCAACACGGGGCCAAGAGAUGGACGGAGGGCAGGGAAAGGGGCAAGAAGAAUUAAAAUGUGUUAUGUGUAAGCACUAUAAACGUUUAUUAAUAAAAAGAAAAGAAACGUUCUCAGCGCAGCCGGGGCGUGGGGGCCCUGGCAGCUGGGUCCUUGGGCCCCCUGGGGCUGGGCUAAUUCUAGGCACCGUGGGGCACAGGGCCCAGAGCAGGCGUCAGGCCUGGGGCGGUGUCAGAGUCCGAGGGCAGCCGGGCUCUGCGGUUUGGCCCGGAGAAGCUCUAGCCUUCCCGGCUCGCGGGCCGGGCCAGGCUGGGAGCCGAACGGCUUCCUGCAGUAACAAACGUCUCCUUUUUCGGGCUGUGAUGCCACCGCUGAUGGCUGAGGUGUUUUCCCGCUCUAUGGGAAGAAUGACAGCAAGAUGCAAAACUGCCGGCGAUCCCCCUGAAUUCCGAACAUUGUUCUCAUAGUUGGGGAAGCGCCACGGCUGGCUGCAGACACAGACACGGAGAGCGAGUGCGAGGUGCGGGAGGCUGCGGGAGCGGCAGGGCGGCAGCGUCAAAGGACAGGAAUGUGAGGAAUGCGCUUGGCUGACUGUGCCUUGGUGCCUCGUGGGCUGGUGGUGUAAAGCAAGGUCUGGCCUGGCUUAGAAGAGGGCAAGUCGAGCCAGAGGUGGUGGCGCACCUCUGUCAUCCCAGCACUCUGGAGGCUGAGGCAGGAGGAUGGCUUUGAGUUUGAGGCCAGCCUGGGCUACAUAGUGAUCAUGAUCUGUCUCAAAAAACAAACAAAGCAAAACAAACGAGGUGGUAGGUCAGGGCGAGGUCGGUGUGGUCUCCGGCCCAGGAUGGCAGCCUAGAGUUGUGGAUUUUCUAUUCUGCACACUCAGCGGCUGCCAGCACCUUCCUCCUCCAGCCUCAUUUGCUGAGCACCUUUCUGGUCUGGGCCAGGGCGGAGCUGGGUGGCUGCUCUGGGGACACCACAGCCCCGGGGCCCUACCACGAAGCUUCCAGAGACCACCCAGUGCCAACUUCCAGGGUCACAGGAUGAAAGAAAUGUGGGAAGACUCUGAGACAGGAAGCCAGGCUCCGGGGCUGGGCUCUCUGGCCACUCUGGCCGCUUCAGGAAAUGGCACAGAGGAGGUGGUUCCUCCCUGGCCGGCUCCCCAUUCGUUACAGUAGGACAGGGGACGGAGCAGGGCUCCUGCUGGGCUCUGUGCACGCCCCGGACAAGCUCUGUGGGGCGUCCCCGGCCUCCCCUGCAGUCCUGACAGCGACACAUGUCCCCACAUGUCACCCAGUGUCCUCUGGGGCAGGAUCACCUGGCUUGAGUCACCUCUGGAGCAGAAUAUUGAGUCUCCAUCCAUCCUUCUCCUGGAGCUUUGGUGUGUGGGAAACAGGGAACUGCCAGGGCGACUGGAAUGUGGCUUCCUUUGUGAUCUGCUGCCCCCUGGGGCUAAGGUGGCCCCGUCCCACCUGUCCACAGCAGCCACCCUCUGCUGGGCACAGGGGCCCUGCCUUUCCUGGGGGCUGCUUGGCCAACCACACAGCAUUUCCCACCUGGUUGUGUCACACUUAGCCUUCCCCACAUACCCAGUGACACAUCCCAACGUGGGCUCAUAGUAGAGCUGGCACACCAGGGAAUUUUGAUGAAGUCCACGGGUGACCGCCCUGACCUUGUGUGAGCCCUCUUCCUGAGUGUGGGUGAGACCUGUCACUAGGUGGGCUGUGGAUAGCUUAAUGGCAGGGCUGGCUUUAAGAAGGGGAUCACUUGGGCUGGGUCUGACCUAAUCAGGUGAUCCCUUCCUGAAAAAUGGAUCGGGGAGGGGGAUUUAGCUCAGUGGUUCCACCACCUGCCUUGCAAGCGCAAGCUCCCGAGUUCGAUCUCUGGUACCAAAAAAAAAAAAAUUACAGUACUGAAGAAAGAAUUGGAAAGAGAUUCUAUAUGGGAGCUUCUUGUGGCUGGCUUUGAGGAUGGAGGGUCCAUGCUCAGGACUGAGAAGAAGGCCUUUAAGAACUGACAGCCCACAACGGUUGGAGUCCUCAGUCCUAAAGCUUUGAGGAAAUACAUUCUCAAACUGAAUGAGACUGGAAGACUUCAGGCUCAUGGCAGCUGGCCUCCCAUUUCCUUGUCACCCUUGUGACUCCAGACCUGCAGAACUGUGAGCUCACUGAGGUUCAGGCAUUACUUGAAGCUGGUGGGUUUGCCUGGUUUGUUUCAAAGUGCCACUAGCUGAUACACAGGGCUGGGGUGGGAGCUGAUGAGGUCUCAUGGAUCAGCCUGAGAUGUAGGUUCCUGUAAACAGGCUCUAAGUGCAGCAUUUGUCCUCCACUAUGGCACAGGAAGUCCAUGCAUUCCAGCUGGCUCGGCCCUGGUGGCUGUGCCUUAAGGUGGCUCCCUUUGCCAGCUCCCGAUCCAAGGUUAACCAAGACUUGCAUGGUGGACUGGAGCACGUGAGCUGGGGGGAACCCAUAGCAGCAGUGACUCCUUGCCCUUGGAGAGAACAGAUACUGCCUUCAUCUGCCUUUAAAAUUUCCAGAGAGCCAGGCGUGGUGGCACACACCUGUCAUCCCAGCACUCUAGGAGGCUGAGGCAGGAGGAUCCCAAGUUUGAACCCAGGUAGGGCAACUUAGUGAGAUCCUAACUCAAAAUAAAAAAAAUAUAAAGGGCUGAGGAUGGAGCUCAACACAAAGGCCCUGAGUUCAAUCCCUAGCACUGAAAGAAAACAAAAAUGAACUUCCGGGAGCAGAAGCCCUACAGCACACAGCUGGAGCUCCAGGGUUCUCUCCCCUCAGGCCCUGCAAUCCCGCCCUGGCUGCCGCCUGCCAUUCCAAAAUUAAGCAGGGGAAAAAAGAAACCCAAACAACAAAAAUCUGCAGCCAGAUCCUGCAGGGGACGAACACGCAGAGGUGGGGACGCACUUAGGCCUCAGCACACGGGGUUCAGAAACAAGAGGAGAGGGCGGUGUUUACAGAGGACGAGAUCCAAGCCCAAACAAACCCCAAGUGCAGUUCGGAGAGAAGCGGGCUGGGCAGGGACGGGACGAACUGCUGGGAACAAGUUGCACCCGGACUGUAGCUGGGUUGCAGCCGGGGUCCCUGGGCUCCUUCCUCCGUGGCGCCUAUCACACAGUCGUGAGAGCAGGGCCCGGGAGCCGGUGUGCACCAGGAAGCGCUGAGCAGAGGGCCGGAGGGAACGCGGUUCUCAGUGGGGUCCAGUCCGGGUUGCUGGUCAUGGGGUACAUGCUUGGUUUUUUGGUUGUUGUUAAGAAACUGGCAAACUUGGGCCGGGGAUUUAGCUCAGUGGUUCCACCACCUGCCUUGCAAGCAGAAGGACCCAAGUUAAGUUCGAUCCCCGGUACCAAAAAAAAAAAAAAGAAAAAAGAAAAAAGAAAUUGCCAAACCUUUGCGGAGUAGCCUUGCCCUCUCCCGGCCCUGCCAGCGAUGCAGGAGUGAUGUGAGUUUACUCCCCCCCACCCCCCGCCGUCCCUGGCGGUUACUGAACCCCUGUUCUCUCCCCUGUGGCGGCACGUGUUCUAGUUCUGCCGCCUGGCUGUCACUUGGUGAGCUGGAACAACCCAGGGCAUCUCGGCUAGGGGUGAUUGUCCCCCAAGGGACACAGACGAUCUCUGGGGAUAUCUGUGGUUGUGACUGGCAGCUCCUGGUGUGGAGCGGGUGGAGGACCAGGAUGCCCUGAGAGCAU